UGCCAGACUCCUACGGGAGGCAGCAGUGAGGAAUAUUGGUCAAUGGACGCAAGUCUGAACCAGCCAUGCCGCGUGCAGGAUGACGGCUCUAUGAGUUGUAAACUGCUUUUGUACGAGGGUAAACCCCGAUACGUGUAUCGGGUUGAAAGUAUCGUACGAAUAAGGAUCGGCUAACUCCGUGCCAGCAGCCGCGGUAAUACGGAGGAUCCGAGCGUUAUCCGGAUUUAUUGGGUUUAAAGGGUGCGUAGGCGGGCUUUUAAGUCAGCGGUAAAAAUUCGGGGCUCAACCCCGUCCGGCCGUUGAAACUGGGGGCCUUGAGUGGGCGAGAAGAAGGCGGAAUGCGUGGUGUAGCGGUGAAAUGCAUAGAUAUCACGCAGAACCCCGAUUGCGAAGGCAGCCUUCCGGCGCCCUACUGACGCUGAGGCACGAAAGUGCGGGGAUCGAACAGGAUUAGAUACCCUGGUAGA
rnacentral:rRNA from 1 species